GAUGAACGCUGGCGGCGUGCCUAAUACAUGCCAGUCGAGCGAACAGACGAGGAGCUUGCUCCUCUGACGUUAGCGGCGGACGGGUGAGUAACACGUGGAUAACCUACCUAUAAGACUGGGAUAACUUCGGGAAACCGGAGCUAAUACCGGAUAAUAUAUUGAACCGCAUGGUUCAAUAGUGAAAGACGGUUUUGCUGUCACUUAUAGAUGGAUCCGCGCCGCAUUAGCUAGUUGGUAAGGUAACGGCUUACCAAGGCAACGAUGCGUAGCCGACCUGAGAGGGUGAUCGGCCACACUGGAACUGAGACACGGUCCAGACUCCUACGGGAGGCAGCAGUAGGGAAUCUUCCGCAACGGGCGAAAGCCUGACGGAGCAACGCCGCGUGAGCGAUGAAGGUCUUCGGAUCGUAAAACUCUGUUAUUAGGGAAGAACAAAUGUGUAAGUAACUAUGCACGUCUUGACGGUACCUAAUCAGAAAGCCACGGCUAACUACGUG
rnacentral:rRNA from 1 species